AUCUUGCGCAAUGGGCGAAAGCCUGACGCAGCGACGCCGCGUGCGGGAAGAAGGCCUUCGGGUUGUGAACCGCUUUCAGGAGGGACGAAGCCACUCGGGUUAAUAGCCCAGAGGGUGACGGUACCUCCAGAAGAAGCCCCGGCUAACUACGUGCCAGCAGCCGCGGUAAUACGUAGGGGGCAAGCGUUGGCCGGAUUUAUUGGGCGUAAAGAGCGUGUAGGCGGCCAGACAGGUCCGUUGUGAAAACUCGAGGCUCAACCUCGAGACGUCGACGGAAACCGUCUGGCUAGAGUCCGGAAGAGGAGUGUGGAAUUCCUGGUGUAGCGGUGAAAUGCGCAGAUAUCAGGAAGAACACCUAUGGCGAAGGCAGCACUCUGGGACGGUACUGACGCUGAGACGCGAAAGCGUGGGGAGCGAAC
rnacentral:rRNA from 1 species